AGUCCCAGCAAGGCGCCCCGCCCCUCGCCUGCGCUCCUGUCCUGGAGAAGGAAGCGAAGGGAAGGCUGGAAGCCGAGGAGGCCCGCUUAUUGGGGAAUAAGGCCGGUGGGCUCAGUCGGGCUUGCUUCUGAGUAAAGGGGGAGAGCAAUUGGCACUAUCCAAACCCAGCACAACAUCCCCCCAGUGGCUGGUAUCUAGUAUCUGCUGUUGCUGGCAUCUGCCUUAUGUUUCUUCUUAGACUGUGAGCCCUUUGGGGACAGCGGACCAUCUUAUUUUUCUGUGUAAACCACAUUGAGAACUUUGGUUGAAGAGUGGUAUAUAAAUAUUCACAGUUCAUUCAUUCAUAGGUGAGUCAAGUCACUCUCUGCUUUGAGAGUUUGUUGAAUGAUGGUUAGUGGGGAUGAGGAAAGGACUAGGACUUUCCAUCCCUUUCUUGCCCUGACAAACUUUUGCUAGUGAUUAAAGAAAGAUCAAACCCAGGAUGUAAUACAGGGUAAUUUGUGGACCAAGAAGAAACUGCCAAAUUUUGCAGUAGCUCAAAAUGAAUUUUUUGGCCUAUGAGUAAUGAGGAAAAUUUUGCAAUAAAAGGAAUAUCCAGGCUCUUA